AUUGAACGCUGGCGGCAGGCCUAACACAUGCAAGUCGAGCGGUAGCACAGAGAGCUUGCUCUCGGGUGACGAGCGGCGGACGGGUGAGUAAUGUCUGGGAAACUGCCUGAUGGAGGGGGAUAACUACUGGAAACGGUAGCUAAUACCGCAUAACGUCGCAAGACCAAAGAGGGGGACCUUCGGGCCUCUUGCCAUCAGAUGUGCCCAGAUGGGAUUAGCUAGUAGGUGGGGUAACGGCUCACCUAGGCGACGAUCCCUAGCUGGUCUGAGAGGAUGACCAGCCACACUGGAACUGAGACACGGUCCAGACUCCUACGGGAGGCAGCAGUGGGGAAUAUUGCACAAUGGGCGCAAGCCUGAUGCAGCCAUGCCGCGUGUAUGAAGAAGGCCUUCGGGUUGUAAAGUACUUUCAGCGGGGAGGAAGGCGGUGAGGUUAAUAACCUUGCCGAUUGACGUUACCCGCAGAAGAAACACCGGCUAACUCCGUGCCAGCCGCCGCGGUAA
rnacentral:rRNA from 1 species